AUGUGGCCGGCCAGCUGGGCAGGGGUCUUGCAGUGCACGCUGCACAGCUUGCACAGGAUGCGGUCAGCCCGCGGGGCCUGGAGCCCGUGGUCCUUCACCGCGUGGAUGCGCAGGAGCCGAAGAGCAGAACAUGUGGCCACACAGCUGAAACCCUGGCUUCCAACCCUUGGGAACUGGCUCUUGACCACUCCUUCCCCACAGCAGGCUCUAGAUGCCAUGAGCUCUGGACUACAACACCUUUAACCCACGUCUGUGGAAGGGCCUCUGGCUUUGUCCCCUACCCAUUGUCCCUGGCCCUCCCAGCAUCUUUCAGCAUGUACCUUUGUUGCAGAGCUCACAGACAUGGUGAGGGCCCUGGCUGUGCACCUUCAUGUGGUCCGAAAUAUAAGCCGAGCUCAGCAUCUUGCCACACACAUGA